AUUGAACGCUGGCGGCAGGCCUACCACAUGCAAGUCGAACGAGUGGCGGACGGGUGAGUAGUGUCUGGGAAACUGCCUGCUGGAGGGGGAUAACUACUGGAAACGGUAGCUAAUACCGCAUACCAUCGGAUGUGCCCAGAUGGGAUUCGCUAGUCUGUGGGGUAAAGGCACACCUAGGCGACGAUCCCUAGCUGGUCUGAGAUGAUGACCAGCCACACUGGAACUGAGAAACGGUCCAGACUCCUAAGGUAGGCAGGAGUGGGGAAGAUUGCACAAUGGGCGCAAGCCUGAUGCAGCCAUGCCGCGUGUAUGAAGAAGGCCUUCGGGUUGUAAAGUACUGUCAGCGGGGAGGCGUUACCCGCAGAAGAAGCACCGGCUAACUCCGUGCCAGCAGCCGCGGUAAUUC
rnacentral:rRNA from 1 species